AUCUCGCCCGCCCGAACACCCCUGCUCUAGGCUGCCGUUCGUGUUGUGUCCCAGUCGGCGCCCCUACUACGGCCCAGGCUGGUGUCCCCGCUGUGCCCCGCACUGGUGCUAGCCUACUAGGUGCUGCCCUCUACGCCCUCGCUCCAACGCCGCGAGGCCCUGGGGCACGCCUUGCAGCCCUGGCCGCUAUGAUCUGCUUGGUGCUGUCCUCGGUGACAAGAGCUUGUGGACGGAGGACGGUGGAGCUCAUCCAUUUCCUGCAUCACCAUCUUCAUGCCAGCAGCGCUCACGCAUGGAGGCGUAUCCUAGCAAGGGAGAAAGAGCACGACACCGGCACAAAGCUUGGCUAGAUUUGCCUCUAGUAGUCUAGUGCCCAUCGAUUUGGUGAGUUGAAGGUUGCGGUGGUUGAUUUAGUGCUUGCUUGCGUGGGAAAUUGAAGCAGAAGAGCAGCACAGAGGGAUUGAAUUGAACGGAGAGAUUGAUACUUGUGCUUGGAUGGAUCGGAUGUGGCUUGCUUGCUUUGAAUUGAAUGGAGAGAGAAAAGGAGAGCUGGCGCCCUCGCUGGGCCUAGUCGUUCAUGGCUUCCCGGAGCUCAACCUCCAGCUGGCAGUGGCCACUGGCCAGGAGGCGGCGGCUGUAGGGACGAGAAGCGGCCGUCUCUAGCUUGGGAGGAAGAUGUGAAGAGGUUGGCGCUGUUUUCUCCAUUCGUCACAGAAUGCUAUUUUUAGGUGACGGUUUCCUCUUCGGAUGCUAUUUUACGGAACGACGGAUUUCCAAUGGUAA